CGUUCGCCGGCGCGUGGGCGCCGCCGCAGCCCGACGAGGCUAGCUGUACGAGCAGCAGCUAUCGCUACGGUAGUAGCUCGGCCUCCCGGGGCUAGCUGCACUCCAGGCCCUUGCCUCCCCAAUGAAACUGAACCUCUGCUGCAUUUCUUUCCAUCUGCAGGUACCAAGCCUUUGCUGCACGGGGCAUCAAUUUCUCCACUCCGUCUGCUGUGCAAUCAGUGCAAUCAUCAGGGAUUCAUCAGACUGGGCUCAUUUACGGCAUUUUGAGAACACUGAAGGAGUACAAGCUGAUUAAAAUAUGUAGCUGAUGCCUUAGCUAGGAAUGCUUCUGUAUUGGUUGAAAUUAGCGCUAUUUUGAAGUGGUCAAAUUACAGGCAUAGUGAAGCUCUUGUUGCAAUUCAGAUUGUAGCUGUUCAAAAUAUUGUAGCUGAUGCCAAACUAUGUACCAUCUCUUGCAUAUGAAUGAAAUUUGUCCAUGGGAAACAUGUCUGAGAUAA